rnacentral:rRNA from 1 species
UACGGAGGGUGCAAGCGUUGUCCGGAUUUAUUGGGUUUAAAGGGUGCGUAGGCGGCCCGUUAAGUCAGUGGUGAAAGCCUCCAGCUCAACUGGAGAACUGCCAUUGAUACUGGCGGGCUUGAGUACAGACGAGGUAGGCGGAAUUGAAGAUGUAGCGGUGAAAUGCAUAGAUAUCUUCAAGAACACCGAUUGCGUAGGCAGCUUACUAGGCUGUAACUGACGCUGAGGCACGAAAGCGUGGGGAGCGAACAGG